rnacentral:ncRNA from 1 species
UACCAGUCUAUUUUUUCAAUAAUGAAAGUUUAAUUCUAUCAUAUUAAAUUUACUUAUUGGUUAUUAAACAUGUAGGUUUUGGCGUGAUAAAAUUUUUCUUAAUGGAGUAAUUUAUUAUUUGCAGUUUAAGUUAUUAAAAAAUAAUUAAAAUUAGUUUUAGUUAAUUAAUUAAGUUUUGACCAAAGUUGUGCCAGCAGUCGCGGUUAUACAAUGGAAGCAAGUAAAUUUUAUUGGUUUAUAUUUAAUUUUAUAAAAAGUUUGAAAUUAAAUUUUAUGAAGUGAAAUUUAAAAAUUUUGUGUGAAUUGGGAAAUGAUUAAAUAUGAAAUUCUAAUGGAAGACUAGGAUUAGAUACCCUAUUAUUUUGGAUUGUGAAUUUAUAACCAUAGGAUUAAUAGUUAUGAUCUUUAAAUUAAAAGAAUUUGGCGGUAAUUUAGUCUUUUCAGAGGAGUCUGUCCUGUAAUUGAUAAUCCACGAUAGAUUUUACCUUACUUUUAGCUUGUAUAUCUCUGUCAUUGAAUGUUUCGUAAGAAAAAUCUUCGGGAAACUUUAUGUGUAAAAUGUCAGGUCAAGGUGCAGUUGUAGUAAGGAAGAGAUGGACUACAUUAAAAGUAUUUAUGGAAAUUUGGAUGGAAAUUUGAUUUGAAAUUGGAUUUGAAAGUAACAUACAUUAUUUAAUGUUUGUGAUUUAAGCUCUAAAUUAUGCACACAUCGCCCGUCAUUCUCAUUAUUAAGAUGAGACAAGUCGUAACAAAGUAGACCCACCGGAAGGCGGGUCUGGAAAGUU